rnacentral:rRNA from 1 species
AGUCUGGCCUGCCCAAUGAUGUUUUAAAUGGCUGCAGUAUCCUGACUGUACAAAGGUAGCAUAAUAAUUUGUUUUAUAAUUGAAGAAUAGAAUGAAUGGUUUGACAAGGGUGUGGCUGUCUCUUAUAUAUUUAUUUGAAGUUAACUUUCAGGUUAAAAGGCUUGGAUAAGAUUAAAGGACGAGAAGACCCUGUUGAGCUUGAAUUAGCAAUGGUGUUAGUAAUGGGUAAUUGAGAUUAAUUAUAAAAUUGUGAGUUUUAGUUGGGGCGACUAAGAAACAGGUGAAGCUUUCUUAAAUAUUUAUAAAAGUUGUUUGUUGAUCCAGUUGUUUUGAAUUAAAACCAAGCUACCAUAGGGAUAACAGCGUUAUCUUUUUUGAGAGUUCUUAUCGAGAAAAAGGAUUGCGACCUCGAUGUUGGAUUAGGAUUUAAUAAAGGUUGCAGAAGCUUUUAUGAUUAGUCUGUCGG